UUAAUUCAAAUUUGUAUGGAAUUGGAGCUUUUGCCUACGUUUGCAGCUAGAGGCGCUGUUCCAACUGCAUACAAAUUGGUGUUA
rfam:Bombyx mori DNA, contig: Bm_scaf22_contig15498, strain: p50T/Dazao, build 2, whole genome shotgun sequence.